AUGAAAAUCGUAGUCAUUACGAAGGAUGGAAAAACCGUUCGAAAGACUGUUCCGGAUGAGGCGGAUGGAUUCCGGAAGCCAGUCGCGCCCCAAAUCCCGGUCAAAUGAUCAGAAGCCACAGAGCUCAGUGGACAACCAGCCGAGUUAAUAACUUUAACUUUGACCACCGAAAUUAUGUUUAUCGCGAUUUAGGAAUUCAAAUCGAUUUCUAUGUUAUAUCCUGCCAGGAGAAAAUGAAGCAAAGGAUGCAUUCUAAGAGUUGAUAGCUGAUUGGUGGAAACCAAGAAUCAUUUAAAAAGAAUGCAAAAAGCAUGCAACGACAUAAUUUGAAAAUGAAGAAAACGUGCAUAUUCAUAGGAAUUUAUAUUAGUGGAUCAUAUAUAUGGGAUUACAUUCAGUAGAAAUACCCGUACGUCGAAAGAGUUAGUUAAAUAAAUUUUCAGCUAUCAAUGAUAAAAAUAUAUAAAUACUAUUUUAUACAGAGAUACAGAGAUGCAAGUGUAAUUGUUUAUAACACAAUGCGACACGAUGAAAAAUUCCUUUCGUCUACUACUUAAUUCUGGACAUUUAUGAAGCGUCGACGCAAUUCCCCUAGCAGCUAAAGAAUAAUUGCCGCAAUUUAUUAAGAGAAUCUCUUUAAUGUCACAUCAAGCUCCGCAAUGGAUUGGGGAAUUCAAAUAGCUCUCCCAAUCGGGGCGAUGUCUCACGUAUGCCGUAAUCUCGCAGGCAUCAAGCCAAGGACUUUAGCACUUAAGACAAAUUCAAACAAAAACACACGCAUACACAAAUCCAGCUAGACAUGAUCACUGGAGCCCACGUGCUAGGCAAAUUAAUUUGGAUUCCGUCGGUGAAUUUGCCCCAAAACGGAAAAGCAGUGUGUGGGGAAAACCUCAAAAAUAUCUCUGCUACUCAGACAAUACAAUGAUAUGGAGAGAGAGUUUUCCUGGGGACGAGCGUUGACAGAAGAAAUUUAACGCUUGAAAUGCCAAACACAAAAAUAUUUUGACAUUCAAAGCACAGAUCCUAAUACACACAUGAAUAUGUACACAGACGUGUUGUGUCCUUGCUCCAAUGUAUGUUCUCUGUUCUCUUGGCGUGGCAAAUUUUCCAUGAAAAUUGCAUGAAUUGCAGAUUUUUGUUGCCCCGUCCUUUUUCCAUACGCACGAAAUGCGCUCCGGACUGAAACUGGGAAUGAGAAUGGGAAAGGGGCUGGGACUUUUACCCGACAUUCACCCGGAGUCAAGUUGCGUGUGCCGUAGACAUUUUUAUGGCAUGCAGCGAACUGCCAGAUGGCAGCUGCCGCUUGGCACUUGCCGCAAAAUAGGGAAAAUGCUUUACAAUAUAAUAGAAUUUGCCAGAAACGUGACUUUAACAAGCUCUUAGACAUGUAAAUACAUAAACUCGCAUAUACACUGCCUGUCAAACGCCAGCGAGCGGGAAUGACUUAAUAUACUGCAACGCUGAUAUGUGGACAAUGUGGCGUAUGCGUGAUAUGGAAAGCAAGAGAGUGGGGAAGAAAGAACAGGAAUGCAGCAAUGCAGCACAGCAGCAAUGGAGAAAUGGAGAAAUGGAGAAAUGCAGCGACCACAGCUCAAUUAGUUUUUCGUUUUGGCCGGGGGGCAGGGACACAGGGCGUAUGAUUAAUGUGGUUUCUAUUCAAAUGGCUGCGCCCAAAAGUAUGCUACAACGGAGUGCCGGACACUUGUGGCAUUUCAUGUGGCAACAUCAAGAUUACCAGCACUUUUCGUGCUCGGCUGCUGGAAUGCUGCCAACUUGCAAAAUCCUUUAUGCAACAGAUUCUCGACUGCGGUCCUGCCAACAAAUUGCGGCAUUUCCCGAUCACCAGAUAGCAACUAAAUUGCAUUUCAUUCCAAUUACUUUGCUGGGCCAGGUAAUCCGGCUAAUUGCCAGCACACAGCACAUACAACUAAUUCGGCACACAGCCACAUCUCGAUGCAAAACUUGCAAGUUACAUUCAAUUAGAACGGCAGUUCGGUCCGUUGGCUGCUGUAGUUUUAAUUAAGUAAACACGAGAUAAAUAUCAAAUCGAGUUGAGCCCGAAUCACACCUGCAAACGACGCCCCAAGGAGGCAUUCAACUGUCGGAUUUGAGUCAUCAAUUUUUCAUCUCUCCCGACUGCAUAAAUCAACCUGCCAGCCUGCCACGUGCCGCAUGGCAUAUGCCGCCAAAACAACUGCCAUUGUGGCAGCCACGUUAACCUGGCUCAUUGUCUUCGCGACAUUUGUUGUCCUUUGUUUUUAAUGUCCUACAGUCGAAGGCAGUAAAAUAUAAUGCCAGCUCCGCGCGACUCCUGCACUUCCACUGCCAAAGACAAUUGCGUGACGUUGGGCAUUAUGGCCACGGCUUGGAUUUGACUUUUGGCCAGGAGAGCGUAGUUUGGGAUGUCACAGCUACUUGGCUAUUUGCUUGGACGAGAUUUAUGCCCUGCUAACGCUUGAUAAAUGACUGGGAAAAUUUGUAACUCAACUCGAACGCUCGCAAAGCUGGAAAUGUUGGAAAUGCUCGUCGGCCAUAAAUUCACAGUUCGCUGGUGCUGUGUCAUUUUCUCUGCGGCUCUGUGGCUCAUUAAAAUGCCAAAUUAGUCCAGCAAAUUAGCUAGAUUCUAUACAAUUCCUGUAAUUGUAAUUGUCGUCAAUUCAGUCCGGCAAACCGACCAAAAUUAAGUGUAGUGACC
ensembl:ncRNA lncRNA:CR44208 long non-coding RNA:CR44208